rnacentral:rRNA from 2 species
GGGGAAUAUUGCACAAUGGGCGAAAGCCUGAUGCAGCGACGCUGCGUGAGCGAAGAAGUAUUUCGGUAUGUAAAGCUCUAUCAGCAGGGAAGAUAAUGACGGUACCUGACUAAGAAGCACCGGCUAAAUACGUGCCAGCAGCCGCGGUAAUACGUAUGGUGCAAGCGUUAUCCGGAUUUACUGGGUGUAAAGGGCUCGUAGGCGGUUCGUCGCGUCCGGUGUGAAAGUCCAUCGCUUAACGGUGGAUCCGCGCCGGGUACGGGCGGGCUUGAGUGCGGUAGGGGAGACUGGAAUUCCCGGUGUAACGGUGGAAUGUGUAGAUAUCGGGAAGAACACCAAUGGCGAAGGCAGGUCUCUGGGCCGUUACUGACGCUGAGGAGCGAAAGCGUGGGGAGCGAACAGGAUUAGAUACCCUGGUAGUCCACGCCGUAAACGGUGGAUGCUGGAUGUGGGGCCCGUUCCACGGGUUCCGUGUCGGAGCUAACGCGUUAAGCAUCCCGCCUGGGGAGUACGGCCGCAAGGCUAAAACUCAAAGAAAUUGACGGGGGCCCGCACAAGCGGCGGAGCAUGCGGAUUAAUUCGAUGCAACGCGAAGAACCUUACCUGGGCUUGACAUGUUCCCGACGGUCGUAGAGAUACGGCUUCCCUUCGGGGCGGGUUCACAGGUGGUGCAUGGUCGUCGUCAGCUCGUGUCGUGAGAUGUUGGGUUAAGUCCCGCAACGAGCGCAACCCUCGCCCCGUGUUGCCAGCGGAUUAUGCCGGGAACUCACGGGGGACCGCCGGGGUUAACUCGGAGGAAGGUGGGGAUGACGUCAGAUCAUCAUGCCCCUUACGUCCAGGGCUUCACGCAUGCUACAAUGGCCGGUACAACGGGAUGCGACGCGGCGACGCGGAGCGGAUCCCUGAAAACCGGUCUCAGUUCGGAUCGCAGUCUGCAACUCGACUGCGUGAAGGCGGAGUCGCUAGUAAUCGCGAAUCAGCAACGUCGCGGUGAAUGCGUUCCCG